AUCACACAGUACCCAUGGAGCGGCGUCGGGUCGUGAUAUGAUCAUAAUGACUUGUUGGGAGCAGUUGUGGAAGACAUCGACUGUCGCCACACCCCGCCUCCAUAAAACCAAGAUGCCCCCCGACAGCCCCUGGGAAUCGACUGCAUAGGUCUCCCAAUCCCUCUCCAUGCGUCGUCUCAAGCGGCUGAGCCCAUCGCCAGAUAAUCGGGUCUCACAUAGGAAACAGAUCUCCGGACUAUGGACUUGUACUAAUCGUUUGAAAGUAGACAUAAAGGACGGCUUGGCCGCCCCCCUACAGUUCCAAGCAAGUAUCAUCAUGGGUCACAGUCCACAUAGUCGGCCUCAGACUCAUCCUCCCCCAGAGUCGCAGGGCCAUCCUCAGGCCCGGCACUCCGGCAAUCUCGCCCCUCCUCCUCACCACCAGCUGCGGAUACAACCCCCAUAACUGCUGCCCUGACGCGCUGCACGGCAAUAGAGUGGUCCGUACCCCCUCCUAAUGGUGGUGCCUCAGCCCUGCUC
rnacentral:lncRNA from 1 species